rnacentral:rRNA from 1 species
AGCGAACGCUGGCGGCAGGCUUAAAAAAUGCAAGUCGAGCGGGCACUAAGGUGACAGCGGCAACAGAAUACGAAAAAAGAAAGAACGUACACAUUGGUUAGGACAACCGCUGGGAAACUAGCGCUCACACCGGAUACGCCCUUUUGGGGAAAGGCUUGCUGCCGAAGGAUCGGCCCGCGUCUGAUUAGCUAGUUGGUGGGGUAAUGGCCUACCAAGGCGACGAUCAGUAGCUGGUCUGAGAGGAUGAUCAGCCACACUGGGACUGAGACACGGCCCAGACUCCUACGGGAGGCAGCAGUGGGGAAUAUUGGACAAUGGGCGCAAGCCUGAUCCAGCCAUGCCGCGUGAGUGAUGAAGGCCUUAGGUGUGUAAAGCUCUUUUGUCCGGGACGAUAAUGACGGUACCGGAAGAAUAAGCCCCGGCUAACUUCGUG